rnacentral:lncRNA from 1 species
ACUAGUAGAUAAAGUAAAAUUUAAAAUUUAAAAUCUAAAUUUAAAUAUUAAAAUUUAAAAUUAAAACUAAAAACUUAAAUUUAAAUUUUAAUAUAAAAUUUGAAAUUCAAAACUUAAAUUUAAAAUUAAAAUUUGACAUUUAAAAAUUAAAAUUUAAAAUAAAAUUUAAAAAUUUUAAUUUUAAUGAAAAUUAAAAUUAAAAUUAAAAAUUAAAAUUAAAAAUUAAAAAUAUAAAACCUAAAAGUUUAAAUUUCAAAUUAUAAAUUUCAAGAUUUAAAUUUUAUCUUAACUUUAAAAUUUGGCCUUUAAAAUUUUGAAAAUUAAAAUUUGAAAAUUGAUAUUUAAAAUUUAAAAUUCAAUAUCUAAAUUUAAAAAUUUAAAUGAAUUUAUAACUAAAAUUUAAAAAAUUAAAAAUUAAAAAUUAUUAUUUAAUAUUUGAAAUAUAAACAUUAAAAUCUAAAUUUAAGUUAAAAAUUUGAAUAUAAAAUUUAUAUUUAUUUUUAAAUUUGAAUUCAAAAUCAAAAUCAGGUUGUUUUGAUGGAACAAAAAAAAAUCAUAUUUUAAGAAACAAAUUUUAGCUAUUUUUGAUUUUGCAUAUUUAAAAUAAAAAACUGAUUUUAAAAAUUAGAAUUAAAUUUUUUAAUAAUAAAUUAUGAAAUACUCUGGCACCCUGUUUGGAUCGGAUAUAAAGGGAGGGAUAAAGGGGUUAUCCUCCCUUUAUAC